CGCGACCCCAGGUCAGGCGGGACUACCCGCUGAAUUUAAGCAUAUCAAUA
rnacentral:rRNA from 1 species